rnacentral:rRNA from 1 species
UACGUAGGGGGCAAGCGUUGUCCGGAAUCAUUGGGCGUAAAGCGCGUGUAGGCGGUCCGGUAAGUCCGCUGUGAAAGUCGGGGGCUCAACCCUCGGAUGCCGGUGGAUACUGUCGGGCUUGAGUACGGAAGAGGCGAGUGGGAAUUCCUGGUGUAGCGGUGAAAUGCGCAGAGUAUCAGGAGGAACACCCAAUUGCGAAGGCAGCUCGCUGGG